UACAGAGGUGGCUAGCGUUGUUCGGAUUUAUUGGGCGUAAAGGGUCCGUAGGCGGCCCGGAAAGUCGGAUGUGAAAUCCCACAGCUCAACUGUGGAACUGCAUUCGAAACUCCCGGACUAGAGUGUGAGAGGGGUAAAGGGAAUUCCCGGUGUAAGGGUGAAAUCUGCAGACAUCGGGAGGAACACCAGUCGCGAAGGCGCUUUACUGGCUCACUACUGACGCUCAGGGACGAAAGCUAGGGGAGCAAACGGG
rnacentral:rRNA from 1 species